GAGAGCCGUAUGAGGGAAAACCUCACGUACGGUUUGAUGAGGAGGGGCAGAAAUUAUCUGCCCUUUACUCUAGU
rnacentral:ncRNA from 1 species